rnacentral:lncRNA from 1 species
CAUUACACCUGGCUAAUCUUUGUAUUUUUAGUAGAGAUGGGGAUUUCACCAUGUUAGCCAGGCUGGUCUUGAACUCCUGGCCUCAAGUGAUCUGCCAGCCUUGGCUUCCUGAAUAGCUGAGAUUACAGGAGAAUUGCCUGAACCCAGGAGGCGGAGGUUGCGGUGAGCCGAGAUCGCGCCAUUGCACUCCAGCCUGGAUAACAAGAGCGAAACUCAGU